rnacentral:hammerhead_ribozyme from 1 species
AUCCAGCUGACGAGUCCCAAAUAGAACGCGCGUCCUGGAU